UGUUGAUGUAUUCCAAUUUCCCAUUAUCAUCUUCACUCUGAAUUCUCUUUCAUUUCCCCAACUGUAUCAGUCAGAUUACCUUACACAAAUAUCUCAGAAGAUGAAACGAAAAUUUCAGUCGAUGAUCUUAUGGAUUAUGAAUGGAGAAUAUGAAGAUGCAGCAGCCUGUUUAUCAUGAAGAGGGAUCAAAGGAGCUACGAAAAAAUUGUGAAAGUUUUGAGGCUAAGAUUUUUGCUAAGGUUACCAGUAUGUCAGAUUACCUAAGGAAAAUAUCUCUGAAGUUUUUCCCAUCCUCACUAUUAUAAGCCUCUGGAUUUUGGUGGAAAACCAGGAACUGUGACUGGGGAUUCUUUGUCUCGAUUUGACCGACAAAAAUAUCGCGAUUUCAUGCUUUACAUGAAGCCUCUAUACAUUCGAUAUGGUGGUUCAUGGAACGACAACAAACAAUGCUAUACUGGAGGUCAAUUGAAAGGUAUCUUAGUGCCGAUCACAAUAAACUAUAAUGAAUUGAGAGAUCGCAUGAAUAUGAACUUACAAAAGUUAGUUCCUCAGAGUUCAACAUUAUAAUAUGGGUGAAAUAUAAGUUGGACCUUGAUUCUCCUCCGAUGUAUAUAAUGGAUGACUGAUGUUCAAUUUCUGGUCCGGGAAGUUAAAUUUAAAAAACCUUUGAUAUUCUUAAGUCUUGAAAAAAUCCAACAACAAACAACGACCUCUGAAGACAACAAUGAGAGACGGCAACAAGCAUGUAAAGUGGAGGGUGUUCUUCCUACUAGUGAUGGAAAUGAAAAUGAAACUGGUAUUUUUUCAUGGGUGGCCUCGAUGAGAAACGCCAACGCCAACGCCAACGCCAACUCACAGUCAAAAAGGAGGUUGUAGUGAUUAGUGUUCGGAACGAGAGCAAUGUAGGUAGGUUGCAUAAGCGAGUGAUUAUUCUUCAUCAAACUCUCUUGGACAGUUGCAUAAAAAGUUUGAUAAUUUUAUGUGGAACAAUAAUGGUGCAAAGCAUAUGAUUGUUUGGUUGAUAUGAAAGAUUUGAGAGCUGCAGAAGAUGUUGAUAAUGUUAUUAGGGAUGUGAGGAUCAAGAGGAGAGGAAAGGAAGGAUAGUCUAUUUGAGAAAUAAAUGUUUCUAAAUUAACAAUUUUUGUUUUUGUUUUUAAAAUUCAAUAAUUGAGGUUGAAUUUUUGGUAGAAA